rnacentral:rRNA from 1 species
UACGAAGGGGGCUAGCGUUGUUCGGAAUUACUGGGCGUAAAGCGCGCGCAGGCGGUUCUUUAAGUCAGGGGUGAAAGCCCAGAGCUCAACUCUGGAAUUGCCUUUGAAACUAGAGAACUUGGGUACGGGAGAGGUGAGUGGAAUUCCGAGUGUAGAGGUGAAAUGCGUAGAUAUGUGGAGGAACACCGAUGGCGAAGGCAGCCCCCUGGGAUGUGACUGACGCUCAUGUACGAAAGCGUGGGGAGCAAACAGG